UCGCCCCAUAGCUUAGUCGGUAGAGCAGGAGACUCUUAAUUUCAGGGUUGUGGGUUCAAGUCCAAGGUUGGGCAAA